GAAUUUUUGCAGGUGAAUUUUUUGCAGGUGAAUUUUUGCAGUUGAAUUUUUUGCAGGCGAAUUUUUGCAGGUGAAUUUUUGCAGUUGAAUUUUUUGCAGGCGAAUUUUUGCAGUUGAAUUUUUUGCAGGUGAAUUUUUGCAGGUGAAUUUUUGCAGUUGAAUUUUUUGCAGGUGAAUUUUUGCAGACAUCCAGAGGUCCGCAAAGUGCGAGAGACCAUGAGAGGGGCAACCAUGGGCGACCAUGAGAUGGGCAGCUUCCUGCCAGAGAGCAGCAGGUGUCAGCACGGCCCCUCCUGAGAACCCUCAAUGUCUACAUGCAUUUAAAAUUGAGAGGUGGGCGCCAGCGCCAGAGGUAUGUGUAUGGGUGUGGGUGUGUCUGGUAGGACGGUUUACAGACACCGUCAAGCCUUGUGGGUGUGCCCUGCUGGCCACACCUGAGGAAGAUGCACACACAGACCUGCAGCUGAUCAAGCCUCGUCGGAGAAGGAACUACUUAGGAGUGUGGUGGAGCUCUGUUCGACGCUGGAUCGUUUCGUGAGACUCCCGAGAAUUGCGGGACGAGAGGGCAGCAAACAUGGAUCACACUAACACUAAGGAGUGGAGGCACAGAGCACUGACACUGGAUGAAGACACGGAACGGAAGUCUGGGACACACAGGGAUUUAUUGUUACUUUACUUCACCACCUUGUAAAUAAACACUGUUUGCACUGAAGAGUCUGGCGUUUGGGUCCUGUUUCCCCACCUCCCCACGGUCUGCCGGUGCAGGUCGUGACACGUUCAGUAACUUCUGAUUU
ensembl:lncRNA